rnacentral:rRNA from 1 species
GACGAACGCUGGCGGCGUGCUUAACACAUGCAAGUCGAACGGAAAGGCUCCAGCUUGCUGGAGUACUCGAGUGGCGAACGGGUGAGUAACACGUGGGUAAUCUGCCCUGCACUCUGGGAUAAGCCUGGGAAACUGGGUCUAAUACUGGAUAUGACCUUUCUCCUUAUGGGGUUUGGUGGAAAGUUUUUCGGUGUAGGAUGAGCCCGCGGCCUAUCAGCUUGUUGGUGGGGUGAUGGCCUACCAAGGCGACGACGGGUAGCCGGCCUGAGAGGGUGAUCGGCCACAUUGGGACUGAGAUGCGGCCCAGACUCCUACGGGAGGCAGCAGUGGGGAAUAUUGCACAAUGGGCGGAAGCCUGAUGCAGCGACGCCGCGUGAGGGAUGACGGCCUUCGGGUUGUAAACCUCUUUCAGCAGGGACGAAGCGUAAGUGACGGUACCUGCAGAAGAAGCACCGGCUAACUAUGUG